CGGCACGCCUAAACAUGCAAGUCGAACGAAGUAGCAAUACUUAGUGGCAGACGGGUGAGUAACAUGUAGGUAUCUGCCCUUUGGCCUGGAAUAACACGAGGAAACUUGUGCUAAUACCGGAUAAGUCUUUACGGAGAACGCUUUAUGCACCAUUGGAUGAGCCUGCACUUGAUUAGUUUGUUGGUGGGGUAAUGGCCUACCAAGACUGUGAUCAAUAGCUGAUUUGAGAGGAUGAUCAGCCACAUUGGGACUGAGACACGGCCCAAACUCCUACGGGAGGCAGCAGUGGGGAAUCUUGCACAAUGGAGGAAACUCUGAUGCAGCGAUGCCGCGUGAGUGAAGAAGGCCUUUGGGUUGUAAAGCUCUUUCGUCGGGGAAGAAAAUGACUGUACCCGAAUAAGAAGGUCCGG
rnacentral:rRNA from 1 species